rnacentral:rRNA from 1 species
AGUGAACGCUGGCGGUAGGCCUAACACAUGCCAGUCGAACGGCAGCACAGUAAGAGCUUGCUCUUACGGGUGGCGAGUGGCGGACGGGUGAGGAAUACAUCGGAAUCUACUUUUUCGUGGGGGAUAACGUAGGGACACUUACGCUAAUACCGCAUACGACCUACGGGUGAAAGCAGGGGAUCUUCGGACCUUGCGCGAGUGAAUGAGCCGAUGUCGGAUUAGCUAGUUGGCGGGGUAAAGGCCCACCAAGGCGACGAUCCGUAGCUGGUCUGAGAGGAUGAUCAGCCACACUGGAACUGAGACACGGUCCAGACUCCUACGGGAGGCAGCAGUGGGGAAUAUUGGACAAUGGGCGAAAGCCUGAUCCAGCCAUACCGCGUGGGUGAAGAAGGCCUUCGGGUUGUAAAGCCCUUUUGUUGGGAAAGAAAAGCAGCAGGUUAAUACCCCGCUGUUCUGACGGUACCGAAAGAAUAAGCACCGGCUAACUUCGUG